UAGGGAAUCUUCGGCAAUGGACGAAAGUCUGACCGAGCAACGCCGCGUGAGUGAAGAAGGUUUUCGGAUCGUAAAACUCUGUUGUUAGAGAAGAACAAGGACGUUAGUAACUGAACGUCCCCUGACGGUAUCUAACCAGAAAGCCACGGCUAACUACGUGCCAGCAGCCGCGGUAAUACGUAGGUGGCAAGCGUUGUCCGGAUUUAUUGGGCGUAAAGCGAGCGCAGGCGGUUUCUUAAGUCUGAUGUGAAAGCCCCCGGCUCAACCGGGGAGGGUCAUUGGAAACUGGGAGACUUGAGUGCAGAAGAGGAGAGUGGAAUUCCAUGUGUAGCGGUGAAAUGCGUAGAUAUAUGGAGGAACACCAGUGGCGCAGGCGGCUCUCUGGUCUGUAACUGACGCUGAGGCUCGAAAGCGUGGGGAGCAAACAGG
rnacentral:rRNA from 1 species